rnacentral:ncRNA from 1 species
ACCAAGGAGUCUAACAUGUGCGCGAGAUGCAGGGCUAUACGAACCCCGAAAGGCGAAAUGAAAGUGAAUGCCGGUGCUUGACCAGUCAAUCUUUUUCAUGUUGGCGAGGUUGAACGAAAGCGUGCAGUAAGACCCGAAAGAUGGUGAACUAUAUGCUUGAGGAGGUUAAAGUCAGAGGAAACACUGGCGGAGGACAGUAGCGUAACAACUUACCUGUCGAAUCAAUCAGCCCUGAAAAUAGAUGACGCUGGAGCGUCAAGCCUAUAACCGGCCGUUGAGGUAGUACAGGCGCCGCCAAUAGACCGUGGCGAGUAGGAGUGCCACGGUGGUGGGCGUCGAAGCAUAGGGCACGAGCCCAGGUUGAGCAGCGGCCGUUAAUGCUUAUUAUGGUGGUAGAAGCAAAUAUUCAAAUGGAAGCUUUGAAGGUCGAAGUUGAGAAAGGUUCCAUGUGAACAGCAGUUGCCCCGGCGGUUCGCGCCUUAGUGUGGUAACGCAAGCUAACUCAAUGAUCCCGGGAAGAGUUCUCUUUUUUUGGUAAGAAGUGAAGUCAAGGUGAGCAGCCUCUGAUC